AUGGAUAUCAAUGCUAACCCGAUAGAUGAGCUGAACCCGCCAAGUCCGACUCUUGCUUCCAGCCCUGCCAAGGCAACUGAAGACGUUCCCUCUCAAGAAGGGAACAACGAAGAUAUUGCUAUCACUGGGGCGGGUCAUAAGACCCCAGGCAUCUCCAAUGUACUAACUAAACACACAACCAAAGAUGAGGUGCCCUUAGUGGAAAAGGGUAAGGCAAAACUUGAACUUCCUAAUUAUGAAGAGUUCAGCGCAGAGGAGCUGCAUGCGGGCUAUCUAAGCCACCUUUCAACAAGCCGUGAAAUGGAAGCUGACUUAGUGAGCAUGAUUAAGCGAAAAUACAAGGAAGCAUUAUCUUUUGUCGAGUUAAAUUUCGCAGGCUUGAAGAAAUACUUUGAGUUAGAACAAACCGGGUGA
rnacentral:rRNA from 1 species